CUCCACGACGGCUUCGAGCUCGGCGAAGCGCGCCGAGAGCCGGCCCAGCUGCUCCUUCAGCUCCGUGAAGUCCCGGUACAGCCCGUCCAGCGCCCCCGACAGCGACCGGAUCCUGCGCGGGCACAGCGGUCUGUGCCAGCUCCUCAUUCUUGGUCCUCACAGCUUCCAGCAACAAGCUGAUGCUGUCCUGGAAACCAUAAGAGGGAAAUCAAGCACUCCUGCAGGGCCCAGACUGGGGCUGUGAUCAGGGAAGUGCCUCCUGCCCUCCUCCACCAGCCACAGCAAGACACAACGCUCAGCUGGAAGGGGAGGCGUUGGGCCAGCAGCACACCCUGCCCUGGACCCACGGCUCGGUCACCUCCACGUGACAGCCCAGGAGGAGCUGA